AUGAACGCUGGCGGUAUGCUUAACACAUGCAAGUCGAACGGACUCUUCGGAGUUAGUGGCGGACGGGUGAGUAACGCGUGAGAAUCUGGCUUUGGGUUCGGGACAACCACUGGAAACGGUGGCUAAUACCGGAUGUGCCGAGAGGUAAAAGAGAAAUUGCCUGAAGAUGAGCUCGCGUCUGAUUAGCUAGUUGGUGAGGUAAAGGCUCACCAAGGCAGCGAUCAGUAGCUGGUCUGAGAGGAUGACCAGCCACACUGGGACUGAGACACGGCCCAGACUCCUACGGGAGGCGGCAGUGGGGAAUUUUCCGCAAUGGGCGAAAGCCUGACGGAGCAAUACCGCGUGAGGGAAGAAGGCUCUUGGGUUGUAAACCUCUUUUCUUAGGGAAGAACAAAAUGACGGUACCUAAGGAAUCAGCAUCGGCUAACUCCGUG
rnacentral:rRNA from 1 species